AAAGUACUCCCUCCGUCCCAAAAUUCUUGUCUUAGAUUUGUCUAGAUACGGAUGUAUCAAGUCACAUUUUAGUAUUAGAUACAUCCGUAUCUAGACAAAUCUAAGACAAGAAAUUUGGGAUAGGGGGAGUAGUUG
rnacentral:pre_miRNA from 1 species